rnacentral:rRNA from 1 species
CCUACGGGAGGCAGCAGUGAGGAAUAUUGGUCAAUGGCCGGAAGGCUGAACCAGCCAAGUCUCGUGAGGGACUACUGCCCUAUGGGUUGUAAACCUCUUUUAUAAGAGACGAAUAAAUGCUACGUGUAGCAUGAUGCCUGUACCUUAUGAAUAAGCAUCGGCUAACUCCGUGCCAGCAGCCGCGGUAAUACUGAGGAUGCGAGCGUUAUCCGGAUUUAUUGGGUUUAAAGGGUGCGUAGGCGGUUUUUUAAGUUAGUGUUUAAACGUCGGGGCUUCACCUUGAUUUGCCAUUAAUACUGUAAGACGCGAGUUCAGACGAGGUAGGCGGAAUAAGUUAAGUAGCGGUGAAAUGAUUAGAUAUAACUUAGAACUCCGAUAGCGAAGGCAGCUUACCAGACUGCGACUGACGCUGAAGCACGAGAGCGUGGGUAGCGAACAGGAUUAGAUACCCUGGUAGUC